rnacentral:lncRNA from 1 species
AAACAAUCAAAAUUGCUUUGAAUGUGCUUAAUCCCGGACGGUGAAUUUAAACCGAGUAAUUCCCCGGGGCAUACGUGUACUUUUUGGUUACAUGUCACAGGAACCGGAUGCCAAGUCAUGAAUCCUCACCCCUAAGCGGUUGACAAAGCCUCUCCUUUGCAGAGCAGGUUCCUCAGUAGGGUUGACAGUAUCCAGACUGUAUAUCCCCAGUAGAGUUGACAGUAUCCAGACUGUAUAUCUCCAGCGGAAUUGUCAGUACCAGACUGUAUCUUCCCAACAACAGCGGAGUAGUUUCAUACCCAACAGACAAGAGGGUGGUGUUCCUAGUGUUCAUCUCGUCCCC